rnacentral:ncRNA from 1 species
AAAAACUGCAACUCAUAUAUCCCCAAAAUAAGGUUGGGAGUAUCUACCGAAUACCAUAAAUAUUCGACUAUGAGUGGAAAUUAAU